UUGAAAGGGAAACGAUUGAAGUCAGUCGUACCAGCGGGAAAUCAACCUUUCGGGUGGUGUUUUGGAGUUUGAAGAGUUUCAAAACCUUUGAGAUUUCAAAAUUUUCGCUCCUUUGGUGUACUUUCUCGUGGGUAGGUUAACAUCGAUUUCGAUCAUCAUAAAAGGAUUGGAGGAAUGUAGCUUCGAUCUUGUAUUGAAGUGUUAUAGCCUUUGGUAAAUGUGAUGAUUGGGAUCGAGGAUUGCAACGAAUACCCUUUUGGGCUAUCCGCCUGAUCUCUGAUACGUGGCCUUGGCAUCGAAAGCUUGCUUAUGGUAUCAAGGUAUUACGGUCAAAAGGUUAGAACGGAUUACAUUCGUUAAGGAUGUUGACGUA
rnacentral:rRNA from 1 species